ensembl:processed_transcript RIKEN cDNA B230206L02 gene
AGGGUGGCCUGCAGACUGAGGAGGGGCAGGGCAGGUGCCCAGUCCAGAGAAGAGUUGAAGAUGACAAGCCGCACCACACCUCCCCCCAACUCACUUGGGACUGGAUCCACCCUGAGGAGCCUCGGGUCAACAUCCUGUUUCCUGCAAGCCCUCCUGGAGGCCACACAGAGGGGUGUUUGUUCUUAGUGUGCAGCGGGAGAGAUGCUAAUCGCGUUGGAUAGCUGGUCCCCGCUGAAGGUCAGGAGGUGGUUCUCUGUCCCUCCACUUUUGAAUCUGAUCUUAGGGGACUCGCUUGUCAUUGAAUUCAGAGGAAGUGAUACUGCGUGCCUCAUGAGACCCGAUGAAACUGUGUCCCGAAAGUUUCCUUCUAGGUAGGCCACGAGAGAGCAGGGGAACAAAACAGAGACAUCCAGAGAGUCAGAUCCGAGAAGCAGCAGAGAGCCGCAGAUCCAUCAUUUACCUACCAAGAUAAGUACCUUACUUGCCAUGAACGUGAACGAUGCAGGCGGCUAGAGGGCUCACUCGGUAGCUAAAAGUGAUUGCUACACAGGACCAGCAAUCUGAAUUCAGUCCCCAGGAACCAUGGGAAGCAAGAAGGAGAUGACCAGCUGCGUGGUUAGCUUCUGACUUCCCCACACCCACACCAAUAAAUACAUAUUUAUUUUAUGCGUG